AGUGAACGCUGGCGGUAGGCCUAACACAUGCAAGUCGAACGGCAGCACAGUAAGAGCUUGCUCUUACGGGUGGCGAGUGGCGGACGGGUGAGGAAUACAUCGGAAUCUACUUUUUCGUGGGGGAUAACGUAGGGAAACUUACGCUAAUACCGCAUACGACCUACGGGUGAAAGCAGGGGAUCUUCGGACCUUGCGCGAUUGAAUGAGCCGAUGUCGGAUUAGCUAGUUGGCGGGGUAAAGGCCCACCAAGGCGACGAUCCGUAGCUGGUCUGAGAGGAUGAUCCGCCACACUGGAACUGAGACACGGUCCAGACUCCCACGGGAGGCAGCAGUGGGGAAUAUUGGACAAUGGGGGCAAGCCUGAUCCAGCCAUACCGCGUGGGUGAAGAAGGCCUUCGGGUUGUAAAGCCCUUUUGUUGGGAAAGAAAAGCAGCAGGUUAAUACCCCGCUGUUCUGACGGUACCCAAAGAAUAAGCACCGGCUAACUUCGUG
rnacentral:rRNA from 1 species